GCCAGCAGCCAUAUCACCCUGGAACUCACAACUGGCAACCCACUGAAGCUAAGCAGGUGUGAGCCUGGUCAGUACCUGGAUGGGAGACCUCCUGGGAAAAACGUUGCUGCUGGAA
ensembl:rRNA 5S_rRNA 5S ribosomal RNA